UACGGGGGGGGUAAGCGUUGUUCGGAUUUACUGGGCGUAAAGGGCGCGUAGGCGGUCAGCACAAGUCAGUUGUGAAAUCUCCGGGCUUAACUCGGAAAGGUCAACUGAUACUGUGCGACUAGAGUGCAGAAGGGGCAACUGGAAUUCUCGGUGUAGCGGUGAAAUGCGUAGAUAUCGAGAGGAACACCUGCGGCGAAGGCGGGUUGCUGGGCUGACACUGACGCUGAUGCGCGAAAGCCAGGGGAGCGAACGGG
rnacentral:rRNA from 1 species